rnacentral:rRNA from 1 species
GUGAAUUGUUAAAUGGGGUUUGAUGCUGGCAUCCGCUCUGUGGCAUGCAUGUGCUCGCUCUAACAAUCAUCUUCCAAACACUGUGCACAUUUUUUGAGGGUAAAUGCAAUUGUACUGCGUUUCCCCUUGAUAUACGCCUAUUACAAUAGUGAAUGUGAUUUGUGCCCAUAAGGCCUUUAAUACCUAUACAACUUUUAACAACGGAUCUCUUGGCUCUCGCAUCGAUGAAGAACGCAGCGAAAUGCGAUAAGUAAUGUGAAUUGCAGAAUUCAGUGAAUCAUCGAAUCUUUGAACGCACCUUGCGCUCCCUGGUAUUCCGAGGAGCACGCCUGUUCGAGUGUCAUGAAAAUUUGUCAAGCUUAGGCUUGGUUUUGUUGGGCUUUGCUGUGUCCUUUGUUGGGAAUGGCUGGCCUUAAAAUUAUUAGCUGGUCCUUGUUUAUCGGUUCUACUCAAGCGUGAUAAUAGUCUGAUCGCUGGAGGACAUUCCAUCUGGGAUGGCCGGUUUAUCAACUUGGAUUGGCUCAUGUGGCUCUACUUUUUUCAGCUUUGACCUCGAAUCAGGUGGGACUACCCGCUGAACUUAAGCAUAUCAAUAAGCGGAGGAGAAGAAACUAACAAGGAUUCCCCUAGUAACGGCGAGUGAAGCGGGAAGAGCUCAAAUUUAAAAUCUGGCAAUCAUUGGUUGUCCGAAUUGUAAUCUAGAGAAGUGUUUUCCGUGCUGGACUGUGUUCAAGUUUCCUGGAUACGGAACAUCAUAGAGGGUGAGAAUCCCGUCCUUGACACAGACUCCCAGUGCUUUUGUGAUGCGCUCUCGACGAGUCGAGUUGUUUGGGAUUGCAGCUCAAAAUGGGAGGUAAAUUCCUUCUAAAGCUAAAUAUUGGCGAGAGACCGAUAGCGAACAAAUACCGUGAGGGAAAGAUGAAAAGCACUUUGGAAAGAGAGUUAAACAGUACGUGAAAUUGUUAAAAGGGAAACGCUUGAAGUCAGUCGCAUUUGCUUGGAUUCAGCCUUGCUUCGGUUUGGUGCAUUUCCUUGUAGAUGGGUCAGCGUUCAUGUUGUACUUCAGAGAAGGGGCAAGGGAAUGUGGCUCCUUUGGGAGUGUUAUAGCCCUUUUUGCUCGCAUGUGGAGAACAAUAUGGAGUCCUACAGCAUG